AGUUGCGGUUCUCGCAACGAGGAGCCCUAGACCCGGGGGAAAAAUUAUAAAAUAAUUUUUGGGACUCCAGAGAAGGGUUAUUGAGGUUCCUAUGGCAUUAGAAUGCCAAGAAAAUACCUAGAAAAAUUUUUCAAUCGGUACAGACAAUUUUGACCCGUUAAGCCAAACGGAGGGCAUUUUGGUCAUUUCGCCUUCCGAGGUGAUUUUUGGCCGACUUGUCCAGUUGAGUAAAUGAUUAAUAUGACAUAAAAUAUGAAGAAAUAUUGCUAGAAAUUAAAUUGAAAAUGAGUAGUGGAGGAAAGAAAAGAAAAUGCAAUAAAAUGCCCAUUUAUGACAUAAUGUGAUGUCAUUAAGAAAAUUUGGACCAAUCACCAUUUAGCCAUCCUUUGACUAACUAAAUAAAAGACUAAAUGAAGACUAAAACCACCAAAAUUUCCAGCAGCCCUCACCUUCACAAAUGCUCACCCGUAGCUCUCAAAUCCCAUAGCCAAACUUCCAUUGAUUUUCAACCAAAGCUCACUUUCUCUCUUCUUUUCACCAUAAACCCUAAACCCCUUUCAUUAAAAGUUGUCCACUCAUCUUAGGGAAGUGUUUGGCAGCCUAGAAAGUGAAGGAAAGUGAAGUUUUGAGUGGGGAAAAAUCUGCCCUAAUCAAGGUACUGGAGACCCCGAUCGUGAGCCCAGUAGACCACAGACUGGGUGAGGCCAUCCGACAGUUCUGCUUUGUGUCUGUGUCACCUCGUCACCUGCAGUGCAUUGGUAGGACACUAGAUGCCAUUUUGUCAUCUUGUAAUUAACUUUUUAUUUUCUCAUAUGUAUUUAGGAUUUAUGUAAUGUAUUUUGAGGUUCAUGUAAAUAAUAAAGAUUUAUGGUUAUGUAUGGUAUUAAUUUGAGUAUUUAAUGGUUGUUUAUGUAUGAGAACCCUGAGAAAGGGAUGUUUUGAAAACUGAAAAGGUUGUUGAGACCUGAAAUUGACAAAUUACCGAGAUAUUGAUAUUGAGUUUUAUUGA